GAUGAACGCUAGCGGCAGGCUUAAUACAUGCAAGUCGAGGGGGAUUAUUUUUGUAGCAAUACAGAGAUAUGAGACCGGCAAACGGGUGCGGAACACGUGCGCAACCUUCCCAAAACUGGUGAAUAGCCCUCCGAAAGGAGGAUUAAUACACCGUAACAUAAUGAAGUGGCAUCACUUUAUUAUUAUAGCUCCGGCGGUUUUGGAUGGGCGUGCGCCUGAUUAGGUAGUUGGCGGGGUAACGGCCCACCAAGCCUGCGAUCAGUAGCUGGUGUGAGAGCACGACCAGUCAGACGGGCACUGAGACACGGGCCCGACUCCUGCGGGAGGCAGCAGUAAGGAAUAUUGGUCAAUGGACGAAAGUCUGAACCAGCCAUGCCGCGUGAAGGAUGAAGGCCCUCUGGGUUGUAAACUUCUUUUAUCUGGGACGAAAAAAGGCGAUUCUCCGUCACUUGACGGUACCAGAGGAAUAAGCACCGGCUAACUCCGUGCCAGCAGCCGCGGUAACAC
rnacentral:rRNA from 1 species